rnacentral:lncRNA from 1 species
ACGAACCUGGGGUGAAGAUUCAAGCUGCCAGGGGGAUUUCGCGGGUUCACCCCGUCGGGGUCUCUGCGCCAGGUCUUGGUGCUUGGGUGCCGUUCGUCUGCCGGGGGGUAAGCUUCCUGCCUGUGCCACACGGUCGGUCUGCGGUCGGAGUGGGCCACGAACGUCGCAGGCAUUAGCCUCGGCUCUACCGCCGCAUACGAGGCCGCUUCUCCAGUUUUCGCUUGGGUGUUGAUGUCGUCGCCAACAGUGGUGCAUCUUCGCAUGAAGAUAGUGCAAUGUGGGCAGACUCGACCAUUGUUCCAGUCGCGGAUGCGUCUGGGGCACUGAUCCAGUUUGCUCAUCGGAACAUGGCGGUGUGGGUCGCGGGGGUCCAUCUGUGUGCCCGGAAAUUCUCACCGGUGCAUAGCCACCGCCGCUGGUUGCGCUUGACUGUCGCCAGACCAUCACGCUGCAGGGUCCACGGUGAGAAUCCCCUCAAACAAUUCCCAUGCAUAUCUAGGUUGUGUAGCGCGGAUCGAAUUAAGGAGCAGGGCCCUAGGGCGCCGACUUGGCCAACACCGGCAGGCCCGCCGCCGUGGGGGGAAAACCUGUGCGCCACCACGCUCGGCUUGGCUGGGGGAGGAAGAUUGGCUCCCUGUCGUUCGAUCGUGAACGGACGGUGGAGAUUAGCCAUGGGAAUACCUAUUGGGGGGAAUAAACCAGAGCCAUAGAUCUAGAUCCAACGGUUGUGGGCCUAUAUCGGUUCCAAGCCGCCCCGAUGUGAUCUGGACCCUCCAUCUCUAAUCGGGCAGUCCAGAUCGCGUACCCCUUCGUUGUCUAAUCUAGUCCCUGGAUCCAAGAUCGGACGGCUCUGAAUCAACGAUACCCCUUCACCCUGGCUUUCUUUCUAAAGAGCCCCUCUGUUUUCCUAGAUUCAACCCGCAGUCCACUCGGGUGUUCCCCUGAGUCUGGGGAAUUCUUACCCGAGACCCCCUGCACUUCCCAGAAAUCUGCGCCCAGUCCAGAUAAUUAAUAAAACCAGGAAAAUCAUUUAGAAAAUAGAUUUUAGUACAUAUUUAAAUGCAGAAACUUGUUUAAUUUGUAGAAAACGCAUAUGAACUCCGAAUUAACCCAUUCCAGUUUCUAUAAUUUUGUAAUAUUAUUGUUGAUCAUUUUGUGUCACAGUUUUAACAUGAAAGCCAUAUUAAAAUUGAUAUACUAAUUAAUCUUGUGCAAAACAUAUAGAAUCGUUGGAAAUCCAUAACUUAAAAUCUACAACUCCAAAAUUAAUAAUUCUUUUUCCUGUGAUCUUAUUUUAAUAUGUAGAUUAUUAAUAUGUAUUUUGCAUAUAUGUUUGUUGUGAUGUUAAUUUUGCCUAUACACUGUUUGUUUGUAUUGCUACGACUAGCAGUGAGGUCACGAGAAUCUGAAGAUCAUCCUGGUACCUGGAAUCUCAAGUCCCAGG